UGAAAACGUUGGUGGGUUUACGAUUGAUUUGGGACCGCUAUCUUUGCCACCGUAUUUUGCAGUCACAAUAUUGAUAAAAAAUAUUAGCGGGCUAAAAGGAAAAAAAUAGGCGGGCUAAAAGGAAAAAAAUAGGCAGAUCAUUUAGGGUUUAUGUUUCCAUAAUUUUUGGAGUACAGAUAGCAAUUGCCGUAUUACAGAAUUGAGGUAUUCCUCACAAUUACAGAAUCCCUCCACUACACCAUUACUUGUCCAUUAUCAUCUCCCAAAGUUCUAAUUAAUCAUUCGCCCGGUGAAGAAUCAUCUCUAAGUUGAAGUUCUGAUUAAUCGUUCGCCGGUGACGGACGGACGAAAGUUGUUGAUAAGAUGGUCAAUAUGCAUGGUGAGACAAUACUUGAGAUAAAAUGUCCUUGUUAUAAAUGUCAAAAUAUAAGUUAUAGAGACAGAGCCACUGUUCAAAAACACCUAUAUAAGGAAGGUUUCAUGCUACGUUACGAAAAAUGGAGUGAACAUGGCGAAAGUUCCAUCUGCGACGUUGGACAAUUUUCUACUACAAUGGAAGUUGAUGAUAAUGAUGAUGCCUACAGACGCAUGGUGUUAGAUAACAUGUAUGCAUGCGGUUAUACUUCAAAUACUUUGGAAGGAGAUGUACCAAAUCCAGAAGCAAAAAGCUUUUAUGACAUGUUACAAGCCGCUGACGAACCUCUGUGGGAGGGGGAGAAGGCUACAAAUUGUUCAAAGUUACAAGCUGCCACGAGUUUCUUGACAUGGAAAUCACUUUUUAAUGUGUCCAUUGCAGCUUAUAACUAUAACAUUUCAAUGGUUAAUGCAUUCCCACACUAUGAUGAAGCAACCCUUGAUAAAAUGAAAGAGAAGGAAUUUGCUAAGUGGUUGCAAGAGCAUGUUAUGAAUGUUCCAAAUAAGGAACAUCUAAGAGACAUAGCCCAAGGGCCACUUACAUAUGUCAAAUCUCACAAGGGUUAUUUUGUCAAUGGUUAUAAGUUUCACACACAAACAGCUUAUGAUGGCCGAGUCACACAAAAUUGUGGUGUUUGUGUCAAAGGAGCCACGUACAACGAAAAUGAAAAUGACUACUAUGGAUUAUUAGAUGAGAUCCUAGAGUUGGAAUAUCAUAGCACCAUUGGGCGUUGUGUGGUUGUUUUGUUUAGAUGUACUUGGUUUGAUCCUGUAAAGGGGGUAAGGGUAGACCCCAAAACUCAUAUGGUUGAUGUUAAACCCACGGCAAUAGGAUGCAUUGACGACCCCUUUAUCUUAGCAUCACAAGCGCAACAAGUGUAUUAUACAUCAUAUCCUUCAAAAGCAAAAGUACUAAAUGGCUGGUUAACUGUUGUAAAGACGACCCCAAGGGGAGUUUACCAACUCGACCAAGAUGUUAGCGAAGUGGAGGACGAUGAUGAUGCGGACGUGGAACAUUUCUUUCAAGAGAAUGAAAGGGUAGAAUGCACGGUUACGGAGGAUCUUUUCCCCAUUUCUUAUGUACAUGAGAAUGGAAGGUUAGAAGAAGUGGAAGAUGUCAACGAUGAUAAUGAUGAUGAAGUUGAGUUUGAAGCCCCACAUUUAGUUGACGAGGGUUUUAACGAUAAUGAUGAAGAAGUUCAAUUUAACAAUGAAAUUUUUGAAAAUGAAGAAUCAAGUGUCAGAUAUCAUGGCACGCACUAUGGGUCGAGGUAGUGUUCCAGCUGGUGGUCGAGGUUUUGGUCAAGAUGAUGGUCAAGCUGGUGGACGAGGUGUUGGACGAGGUAGUAGUCAAGGUAGCGGUGUAGCUGGUAAUCAAGGGACUUGGCGUUGUGGUGGUCGAGUUUAUAUGCGAGGUGGUGGUCAAACGAAUAAUCGAGUUGUUGGGCGACGUAGUGGUAUAGGUAACAGUCAAAGUAGUGGUCAAGUGGGUGAUCGAGGUGUUGGGCAAGGUGGUGUUCAAUAUGGUGUUCGAGGUGUUGGUGACGCUGAUGACGAGUCUGAUUUUCAUGUGAUGAAUUCCCCCACUGAGAGUAGUGCUGAUGAUGAUGACUCUGCUAUUCAUGUUGCUACCACGAGGCGGGGAAGCGCUUCCCACGUCCAAGUACCUGAACCAAUCAAUCGCGAAUGGAUUUGGGUUGUAGAUGGAGAAUUUAGUAAUCAAGGGACUGCUACCCGGGUUAUUUUAUCAAAUUUAAUAAGUUUGUGGUCCGGUCCAUGAGAGAGCUGGAGACAUGUUCCUAAUGAGCACAAGACACGGUUAUUUGAGCGAUUCCAG